AGCUACCCAGUGACCAUAAAACGAACUAUUCUUUCACCUUUUACUAAAGAAUGCCGUGUGCUCGCUGUAGAAAGUGACAUACACCUAUUUUUGGAGGGCUUUUUCUUGGGAAAGGGCC